UAAUACGGAGGGUGCGAGCGUUAAUCGGAAUUACUGGGCGUAAAGCGCAUGUAGGCGGUUUGAUAAGUCGGGUGUGAAAUCCCUGGGCUUAACCUAGGAAUGGCAUUCGAUACUGUCGGGCUAGAGUAGGACAGAGGAGGGGGGAAUUCCGCGUGUAGCAGUGAAAUGCGUAGAUAUGCGGAGGAACACCGAUGGCGAAGGCACCUCUCUGGGUCCAUACUGACGCUGAGAUGCGAAAGCGUGGGGAGCGAACAGGAUUAGAUACCCUGGUAGUCCACGCCCUAAACGAUGUCGACUGGUCGUUGGGGGGUAUUAACUUCUCAGUGACGUAGCCAACGCGUUAAGUGUCCCGCCUGGGGAGUACGCACGCAAGUGUG
rnacentral:rRNA from 1 species